AUGGCAACACGGCCCGGCCCUUUGACCGAAUGGCCAUGGCAUUGGAUGGGCAGCUUCAAGUACCUGGUCUUGGCGCCCGCGGCGUUGCACACUGCGCACAGUGUGGGCACCAAGGGGUGGGGAGACAUGAACCUAGUAUACGCCGCCAUGUUACCAGCUCUGCUUCUGAGGUUGUUCCACAACCAGAUCUGGAUCAGCUUGUCUCGCCACCAGACCGCACGGAGGAAGCACAUCAUUGUGGACCGCAGCCUUGAAUUCGACCAGGUCGACCGGGAGAGAUCCUGGGAUGACCAGGCCAUCCUUGCUACGCUGUUUUUCUACGUGGCCUAUGCGGCCAUCCCGAGUGUCAGACUCAUGCCAAUGUGGGAAGCAAAGGGAGCUAUCAUCAUGGCGUUGCUUCACGUAGGACCUGUUGAGUUUAUCUACUACUGGUUCCACAGGGCGCUACACCACCAUUUCCUCUACUCCCGCUACCACUCCCACCACCAUGCCUCCAUCGUCACAGAGCCUAUAACAGCUGUCAUCCAUCCAUUUGUUGAAACCUUAGCUUACUUCCUGUUAUUUUCGAUCCCCAUGCUGAUACCAAUUUAUAUGGGAUAUGGUUCUGUCUUGGGUGUUGUCCUAUACCUGGCUUACAACGACUUCAUAAAUAAUAUGGGACACUGCAAUUUUGAGAUGCUCCCAAAGUGGAUCUUCCAACGUUUCCCUCCUCUCAAGUAUCUCAUGUACACUCCAUCGUAUCAUUCUCUCCAUCAUACAAAGUUUCGUACAAACUACUCGUUGGCUAUGCCAAUCUAUGACUACAUAUUCAACACAAUGGACAAGUCAACUGACGAGCUGUAUGAGAGAACACUGAUUGGAACAGAGGAAACACCAGAUGUUGUUCACUUGACGCAUAUGACCACCUUGCAAUCGAUUUAUCAUCUAAGGGUUGGGAUUGCAUCUAUAGCCUCUCGGCCUUCAGAUAACCAUGUAUGGUAUAUGUGGAUGAUAUGGCCAAUGGCAUGGCUAUCAAUGGUACUGGCAUGGGUUUAUGGAUCAUCUGCGUUUAUCGUCGAAAGUCUCAAGCUGAAGAAGAUCAUGAUGCAAACAUGGGUGAUACCAAGAUACAACUUCCAGUACAGCCUGACUAGGGAGAGGGAAUCCAUCAACAGGUUAAUUGAGCAGGCAAUAUCAGAUGCGGAUGGAAGAGGGGUCAAAGUGCUCAGUCUUGGACUUUUCAAUCAGGAAAGACAACUCAAUGGAAGUGGUGAAUUAUUUACACAAAAAUAUCCAAAAUUGAGAGUUCGACUUGUUGACGGAAGUGGUUUAGCAACAGCAGUUGUUCUCAAGAGCAUCCCUUUAGAUACAAAGCGGGUGUUUCUCUGUGGAGGCAGUUCUAAGGUAGCACAUGCCACAGCUACAGCUUUAUGCGAGAGAGGUGUCCAGGUAAUCAUGAACCAAAAGAAGGAAUAUGACAUGCUUAAAUUGCGAGUUGCAGAGAGCAGCACUGCCUAUCUGAAAUUCUCCAGUGAUGAGAUACCUCAGAUCUGGAUAGGAGAUAUCAUAAAUGAUAAGCAACAAAUGGGGGCACCAAGAGGAGCAACAUUUAUUCCUACAUCACAGUUUCCCUUUAAGAAGAUACGCAAGGAUUGCACUUACUUGAGUAACCCUGCAAUGAAGAUCCCAGAGGCAAUGCAGAACGUCCAUACCUGUGAGAAUUGGCUUCCAAGAAGGGUCAUGAGCGCAUGGCGCAUUGCUGGAAUGGUACAUGCACUAGAAGGUUGGGGCAUCCAUGAGUGUGGAGAUGAUAUGAUGGACAUCGAGCAAGUUUGGUCGGCAGCUAUUAAGCAUGGAUUCAUUCCUCUAUAA
rnacentral:rRNA from 1 species